rnacentral:rRNA from 1 species
AUGCUGAGUUCGCCGGCGGAAGAAGAUCAUCCGUCGAGUCGUCCAUCACCUGAGGCUGUUACACCAGAGGUGCCAGAGGCGUCUGAUCGUGCUCAGGUGGAGUCCAAGGAGGUUCAGCUCUCAGACAUGCCAGCAAUCACUCUCGAUGACACUCACGUGCAGAUUAUGGUGCUUUGUUACUUGGAAACCAAAAAGGACAUAGAGGAAGUGUGCACAUAUAAGAAAAUUUCUGAGUGUUUUGAAUCAAUUGUGCCCGAACCAGAUAAUCAGAUAGAUCGUGAUCCAUUGCAAUCACCUCCAUCCCCAUCUAACUUAACAUUAUCUCAUGUUUUUUCAUUACAUGAUGUUAAGGAACCAGAUUCACAUAAAGAGAUCAAAGUUGAUGAGACAUAUGAUUAUCUCCCACAAGGGAGCUCAAUUGGGUGA